rnacentral:ncRNA from 1 species
CCCGCUGAAUUUAAGCAUAUCACUAAGCGGAGGAAGACAAAAUACUAGGAAUCCCCUUACUAGCGGCGAGCGAAACGGGACCCAUCUCAGCUCCGAACCCCUCGUCCUUGCCGGCGAUCGGGAAAUGUGGGGUAUGGGAGGUAACGUUCCGGAGAGUUUUGCUGUGGUGCAAGUGCCCCUGACAGGGGCUUGACCCAGAGUGGGAGCCAGGCCCGUCUCCGCCACUGCUCUCUCGGAAUGGAACCUCCCGUGAGUCGGGUUUCUUGAGAGUGCAGCCUUAAUUGGGUGGUAAACUCCAUCUAAGGCUAAAUACGUCCGAGAGACCGAUAGUUCAAAAGUACCUUGAAGAAACGUCUAAAAGAACUUUGAAGAGAGAGUUCAAGAGUACGUAAAACCGCUUAGAGUAAAAUGGGUAAGCCCUCGAAACUCGAGGGCGGAGAGAUUCAGUCUCGGUGUGACGUGGAGCGGUGUCAGCGUCUUCCUUAACGCGCUCUCCUUCUGGGGGCCCGUUUCGGCUGCCCGCGCGGUACGAUGCACUCUGGAACGCAUUUUCUACCGUCGGUAGGACGCCGCGACGGGCACGGGUACGCUUCAAGAACGACUUAGAGUUCGGCCGCUGGAGGUGACCGGCAACCGCCCUUGUUUGGCUGUCGUGGGAGUUAUACCUGGCCGGUAAUCGAGUAUGUCACCUUGCCCAGGCCUCGUGCGCUACUCCCAUUGAGGAGGCCCGAAACGAUGCCCUCCGGAUGCGGAGCGGGAGCCCGGCUUGGUCAACGGGUCCGCCGCAAUACGCCAGGUAUUUGCGUGACGUUCGGUGUGCGGAACGGAAGCGGCGAGGCGGGUUCUUUCCUCGGAGGUUUGGCGUCAUGGUUGGCGGCGAGUAGGUCGGCAACCCAUCCGACCCGUCUUGAAACACGAACACAAAACAUGUGCACGAGUCAAUGGGUCCCUCAAAACCAAGAAGCACAGCAAAACAUGAAGGCGCGGUUUCGUGCCGGGCCGAGUUGCGAUCACGGGCCGCCCAGGGGUCGGAUGAAGAGAGCAGCAAGAGUAUGGUGUCUGGAACGUGUCUCCGACUGGUGUGUUUACCACGGCCAAAAAAGUGGUCCCUCCAUUUCCGCCUGAUGACGUCAUAAACAUGUCAUGCUGUCUCCUAUUGCGACCCUGGCGGCGUCCCAUCAGUUGUGGUAUAAGUGGCAGACGCCUGCUCUGCUGCAGGUCGCUUUCCAUUGUGAUAGUUCUCGGAAGAUAGAGCAGCCGGAAGUUGGGAACGCCUAAAGGGACGCUGUGACGACAGCGACACUCGGGUUCGCUCGUGCUUUUCACCAACAUUUCUACGGCCAACCGCCAGGAUCGCGACAGGCAACAGCAUGACGCUCGCGUCAUUUGUUGCCACUUUGAGACCACUUUUGAUGUAUGGGUGGGAUAGGAUGCUAAACACACAAGUCGAAGAUGCGAUUCAGGCACCAUAGCAACGGCCCGCCCCACACGCUGACGUCGUAGGGCUGGCGCUAGAGCGCACACGUGGACACCUGAAAGAUGGAGAACUAUGCCCGAGUAGGACUAGGCUAGAUAAAAUUCCGGUUGAGGUUCGAUGCGCGUCUGACGUGCAAAUCGAUCGUCCGUCCCAGGUAUAGGGGCGAAAGACCAAUCGAACCGUCUAGAAGCUGGUUCCCUCCGAAGUUUCUCUCAGGAUAGCUGGCGCUUGUUGCCGAGAAAUGUCACACCUGGUUAAGUGAAUGAUUACAGGCAUUCGGUUCGAAACGACCUCAACCUAUUCUCAAACUUUCAAUGGGUGUGUCGGAGGCCUUCUGGUCUGAGGCCUUCGCAGCGAUGAGAGUCACAAGUGGGCCACUUUUGGUAGGCAGACCUGGCGCGGUUGGGUAAAGCAAACGCGGGGUAAGGCGCCCGAUGUGGGACGCUCAGAUAUCCCAUGAAGGGCGUUGGUUGCUUAAGACAGCAGAGCCGAGGCCAUGGAAAUCGGAACCCGCUAAGGAGUGUCUAACAACUCACCUGCCGCAACAACUAGCCCCGAAAACAGAUGGCGCUCUAGUGUCGAGUUUAUCCCCUGCCGGUGCCAGCAGAUGCACGCAAACAUGAUGGUAAGCUGCAGCGAGUAGGAGGACCGCUGCGGUGAACUCUCAAGGUGUCGGGCGUAAGCCCGCCUGGAGCCGCCGCUGGUGCAGAUCGCGGUGGUAGUAACAAAUACUCGAGAACCUUGAGGACUGAAGUGAAGCAGGGUUCUAUAUGAGCAGCAGUUCAACAUAGGUAAGUUGGUCCUAAGGGAAAGGCGAAGGUUUGUCCGAAGCGGGAGAACUUUUUUUGCCGUGGAGAGAGCCCCGUAGUGACUGAAAGGGAAUCGGGUUAAUAAAUUCGAACCUGGACACGGAGAUUGGUCCUUCGGGGCCCAGUGCGGUAACGCAAACCAGCUCGGGGACGCCGAUGCGAGCCCGGGAAGAGUUUUCUUUUCUCUGUAAGGAGUUCGAGUCCCUGAAAUGGGUUCGCCCCGAGAGAGGGAUGGUGCCUCCGUAGAGCAGUGCGGCUCUUGCGCUCUCCAUUGCUCUCGAUUUGGCCCUUGAAAAUCCGAGUGAGGGAGUGUGAUUUUCGUGCCGGACUGUACCCAUAUCCGCAGCAGUCUCCAUGGUGAACAGCCUCUAGUC